AGCGGGGUAGGGCAGCCAGGUAGCCCGCGGGAGGAGACCCCGAGGUCGGUGGUUCAAAUCCACCCCCCGCUA
rnacentral:tRNA from 1 species